GCCACAGCUUCAACCCUCCACAAGCUCAAUGAUCUUUAUCGAUAUCCUCCUCUUAGUGCUUGACGGCUCAAACAUGGGCUAACGCACAUGUGGAGGAGGUCGUGUAGAGGUUUUGGAGCCAGCGACUUCAGAACUUUUGAGAUGCUAUCCACGAUACGGUCGUUGAGAUUCUUCAAGAUCUGUAUCUACGUGAUUAGCUCAGCUCGUUGUCAUAGCCAUCAUAGU
rnacentral:lncRNA from 1 species